GUCAGUUAAUUCAGGCUUCCUGUUCAGAUGUUUAUCAUGUUACUCUCAUUUUUAGAUUCUUCAGAGAAGAUAAUGGACUGCAUUAGGUUGACUCUGGUGGUCCUGAUGCCAGUUUCUCUGCUGCUCUUGUUUCUGUGGAUGAGGAGGAAGAGGAGCUCAGACACUGGAGCAGCGCUGGAGAGGAUGCAGCCCGAUCCAGUUUAUCAAAACAUCUCAGCCCUGAAAGCUGCAGCAUCUCAGACUGAAAAAGCAAAGGAGCAGGACGACCCUCUAUGAAGUCUGUCAGGUCUCAAACUUCAGAGGAAGAAAGCCACAUCAUCAUACAACCACUUUCUGGCUCGGAGUUCAAAACCAGAAGCAGUUUUAUUCACCAAGCUUCUGCACACAAACAAGGAAUUUGACUGCUCUUCCACUUUGAUCUCCAUGAAUUCAAUUUAGUUUACUUAAAUUGUGAAAAUUCACAAGACAUGUCUCAAAACACUUUACAAGAGAAAGUUUAUUUCGUUCCAGUUAUCAAACAAUUAAAUCAAGUACAGUUUAUUCUCCAGAUUGAUUUAAAGAUUUGUAAGGAAACCCAGCAGGUUGCAACCAAUCAUUGACUUGACUUGGCUCAAUCUGAAUUAUUGAGGAAGGACUCUUAAGCCAAAGCAGAAGUGCAUCAGUGAUCGGCAUGAUAAGUCAGGAAGAAAGGAGGUAGGAAGAAUCCUGAAUGCGUCCUCCCACGGCUAGUUUAACAUAGUAACCCCGCAAAGUCUCUUAUCAGUGCUACGAAGCCUUAAAGUAUCCCACAAUCCUUUGCAUUACAUGAUUUAUCAGCCCAGCCCCCUUGUGGAAAUUAACAGAAAUGUCUGGUGGAAAAAAACAUGCACUUUGUUGUUAAUUUUUGGAAGGCUGUAGGCCCGGAUUUGACUCGCAUCAGCCAUGUGUGUUUUUCUCAUGUAAUGAUGUCAGAGUUAAAGGCUGUCCGAAUUCAGCACAGCAAUCCGAAACUCCUGUCCUCCCCAUGAUGGAGUUCUUAUAGAUGACCCUGUGAAAGGUCAGGGAGCAGAAACUAGAUGCUACUAUUAAGGGUAUUUGGAUGUGCCAUGGACUUUGCAGCAAUCCUUCAAACCCAGCAUGCAUAUAAUGACAUUGAAGAGGAAAACUCCACAGAGAAACCUCCAGCAGAACCAGAAUCAAGCUCAGCGUGAAUGGCCAUCUGCCAUGACAAAAUGGUAAAAUGAAAUGAAUAAAAUAGAAAUGGAAAUAAAGGUUUCUUAUUGACCUUAAAAGGCAUUAGGAUUCUGAUUAUUCUUAAGUGCUGUAUAAAUAAACGUGCCUUAUUCAGUAAAGCAAAAAACAUUUAACGGC